UUAAACAAGAUGAUCCGGAAAGUAAUCUUUUGGGGCAGCUGAAGCAGAGAGUCGGUGAUGGUGGGAUCCGAUCUGUUUAUGAAGAUGAAAAUGACCGGUGAUUGGCCAAUGCGAUCGGUUUACCGAAAGUACUGGCGGUCCUACCUGCCUUAUAAGGUAUUCCGUUGUCUGCCGACUCAUCUGUAGGGCAAAGACGGAUAGCGAGAUUUUUUGAGUGAUCAAAAGAUAAAGCAGAAUGGUAACGCGCAAAAACGCUUCUGUA
rnacentral:ncRNA from 1 species